AGAGUUUGAUCCUGGCUCAGGAUGAACGCUAGCGGCAGGCUUAACACAUGCAAGUCGAGGGGCAGCAUAAUGGAUAGCAAUAUCUAUGGUGGCGACCGGCGCACGGGUGCGUAACGCGUAUGCAACCUACCUUUAACAGGGGGAUAACACUGAGAAAUUGGUACUAAUACCCCAUAAUAUCAUAGAAGGCAUCUUUUAUGGUUGAAAAUUCCGAUGGUUAGAGAUGGGCAUGCGUUGUAUUAGCUAGUUGGUGGGGUAACGGCUCACCAAGGCGACGAUACAUAGGGGGACUGAGAGGUUAACCCCCCACAUUGGUACUGAGACACGGACCAAACUCCUACGGGAGGCAGCAGUGAGGAAUAUUGGUCAAUGGACGCAAGUCUGAACCAGCCAUGCCGCGUGCAGGAAGACGGCUCUAUGAGUUGUAAACUGCUUUUGUACGAGGGUAACAGCAUCUACGCGUAGGUGCCUGAAAGUAUCGUACGAAUAAGGAUCGGCUAACUCCGUGCCAGCAGCCGCGGUAAUACGGAGGAUCCAAGCGUUAUCCGGAUUUAUUGGGUUUAAAGGGUGCGUAGGCGGUUUGAUAAGUUAGAGGUGAAAUUUCGGGGCUCAACCCUGAACGUGCCUCUAAUACUGUUGAGCUAGAGAGUAGUUGCGGUAGGCGGAAUGUAUGGUGUAGCGGUGAAAUGCUUAGAGAUCAUACAGAACACCGAUUGCGAAGGCAGCUUACCAAACUAUAUCUGACGUUGAGGCACGAAAGCGUGGGGAGCAAACAGGAUUAGAUACCCUGGUAGUCCACGCAGUAAACGAUGAUAACUCGUUGUCGGCGAUACACAGUCGGUGACUAAGCGAAAGCGAUAAGUUAUCCACCUGGGGAGUACGUUCGCAAGAAUGAAACUCAAAGGAAUUGACGGGGGCCCGCACAAGCGGAGGAACAUGUG
rnacentral:rRNA from 1 species